rnacentral:hammerhead_ribozyme from 1 species
AUCCAUCUGAUGAGUCCUAAAUAAGACGAAACCCGCGUUAUGGUU